UACAUCUGCCACCUUUGCUAUUUGUACUUACAGAACAUCAUGUGGUAACUUGGACAAUGACAAUGUAUAACAAUAUUCAUUAUUCUUUCUACCAUCCUUGAUCUUAUGUGAUAUCCGCAAACAACCAAAUGUGAUACAAUUAUCUAUUUAGUCCUGCCUUAGAUAGCUGUAAUGAAUCUGUAGUCCUGAACCUUACUAGAAGUGUAACAUUUUCUUUUUUUUUUAA
rnacentral:misc_RNA from 1 species